rnacentral:rRNA from 1 species
GACGAACGCUGGCGGCGUGCUUAACACAUGCAAGUCGAACGGAAAGGCCCUGCUUGCCGGGUGCUCGAGUGGCGAACGGGUGAGUAACACGUGGGCGAUCUGCCCCUUACUUUGGGAUAAGCCUGGGAAACUGGGUCUAAUACUGGAUAGGACCAUGCUGUAGGUGGUGUGGUGGAAAGAUUAGUUUCGGUAAGGGAUGAGCUCGCGGCCUAUCAGCUUGUUGGUGGGGUAAUGGCCUACCAAGGCGUCGACGGGUAGCCGGCCUGAGAGGGUGGACGGCCACAUUGGGACUGAGAUACGGCCCAGACUCCUACGGGAGGCAGCAGUGGGGAAUAUUGCACAAUGGGCGCAAGCCUGAUGCAGCGACGCCGCGUGGGGGAUGACGGCCUUCGGGUUGUAAACUCCUUUCAGCCAUGACGAAGCCCUUGUGGUGACGGUAGUGGUAGAAGAAGCACCGGCUAACUACGUG